UACCCAAUGAGGGUCAUUUUGAGGGCCAAU
rnacentral:piRNA from 1 species